UUAGCAGGGAUGUGUGUAUCGGCAUUGUGCUACAAAUAAAUGCACCGUGUUACCGAAAGAGUUCUCUGCAAAAUAAAUAAAUCAUUUGGGGAAGAUGGGCAGUUGUGCUUCAUCUGUUGAAUGUUCUCAACAAUCAUCUUCCCCACAUCA